rnacentral:piRNA from 1 species
AGCCAUAGAAGUACUUGUUGAUGGUUUU